GAAAUUGAGGAGAAAUAGGUGAACAGCGAAAUAAUUGAGGGCAAGUUGUGCAUUUGAAUCAACAACCCUACGCAGUAAAACUUAUUCUCCUUAUUUCACAGAUGAAGAAACUAAGGCUUGGAGAGCCUGAGCGGGUUGUGCAAGACUGCAUUGUGAUCAGCACGAUGAAAGGUAAAUCUCGACUCCAAAGUCGAGCUCUUACCAUUAGGUUAUGAGGCACCACUGAGGGUCUGGCUGGAAAUGGGUCAUAACUUUGCGGAGGUUUCUUUGAUGGGUGGAAUUGCCCCUCUGGCCUCAGGUUUCUCACCUUUCAGAUGAAGGCUUUGCAGCAGGUGGGUUCUCCAUGAGAAACAAACAAAUAAAAGGUCUUUGAACGGAGAGGCUGAGUGGGGUGCCUCUCACGCAGGACUGGAACCAUCUGACCACUGGUCUCUGUCCCUCAGGAGGGCAGACCUUUCUGUAUCACACAGCGCUAACACUCAGCCAGAAGACGGUGGCCUCUCUAGACCUGACAUGAAAUGAAAGGUCCCGAGCUGGGUGAGGGCCGGGGCAGGGGAUCAAAACAGUGAAGGGAACAAACCCAUAAUAAAGCUGGCCUUCCUUCAGGCAGAAACUGCAAGGUGCAGACGGGCCUCUCCGGAAUUCUCCCUGCAUGGACUGGAAGGGGUGGCCUGAGCCCUCCUCCCAGGCAGCACAUCUCUGCCCUCAAUUAUCCACCUCCACUCAGUGUCGAGCCUGGGCACGCGCCAGGAGGGCUUUCCAAUACCUGUGGACGGGUUCGUGAUUCAUCCAGCACUCAGAGACAAGCUGCUGCCUGGCACCCAGGUUCUUCUUGGCACCAGAGAGUCAACGAACUAGAGCACCAGAUGUCCUCACACACCGCUGGUGUUUUAGUGAGGAGGACAGAUUAUAAGGAAGAAAACCCAAGAACACGUCAUAAAUUCAAUAAUGGUUUGUUACAAGGAGAAUUAAUCCAGGUGUUACAGGAGUGAGUGACUGGGUGGAAAACAGCAAAGAAGAUGGACAGACAAAACCUGAAUAAUGAGGAAGUUGGGUAUAAGCCUUGGCACUGUCCCUUCAUGUCUGUGUGAUCUCCAGCAAGAUUCAAACCUCGCUGGGCUUCAGUGUCUUCUUUUGUGAAAUGAGGGUAUUAAUGGUAUCUACCUUUUAGGGCUAGCACCAAGAAGUAAAUUAGUUAAUAUGUGUAAAUGAGUCCGUGUAUGUCUGGCCCAUUGUGAAAACUCAGUAAGUAUCAUCUCUUAUUAAGACAUGUUCCUCUUAGGAGUGUCCUUGUGCAUAUCUACAAAUUGGAGGCUCUGAGAAGUCCUUCAUUAAAACCUUACUGAACUUGUUUGGUUUACAUUUGCCAAACUUACUUUUUUCAUGACAUUCCCUCAUGAAUGUUCAGGAAACCAAAGCUCCUUAGAACACAUUUUAAAAACAGCUUUGCUGCUGCUAAGUCGCUUCAGUCGCGUCCGACUCUGUGCGACUCCAUAGAUGACAGCCCACCAGGCUCUGCUGUCCCUGGGAUUCUCCAGGCAAGAACACUGAAGUGGGUUGCCAUUUCCUUCUCCAAUGAAUGCAAGUGAAAAGUGAAAGUGAAGUCACUGAGUCGUGUCCAACUCUCAGCGACCCCAUGGACUACAGCCUACCAGGCUCCUCUGUCCAUGGGAUUUUCUAGGUAAGAGUACUGGAGUGGGGUGCCAUUGCCUUCUCUGAAAAACAGCUUUAUUGAGCUAUAAUUCACAUAUAAAAUUUGCCCUUUUAAAGGGUGCAAUUCAAUAGUUUCUGUAGCAUAUUUGCAGAGUGUGCUAUCGUCAUCAGAAUCUAACUUUAGAACAUUUUUGUCCCUCUCAAAAGAAACCUGCAUCUACCAGCAGUGAUUCCUCAUUUUUCUCUUUCCCCAGCCCAAAUAACCACUAAUCUGCUACCGUCUUUAUAGAUUUGCCUGUUCUUCACAAUUCAUAUAAGUGGAAUCAUACAUUAAGUGCCCUUUUGUGACUCAUUGCUUUCAUUCAGCAUAAUGUUUUCAAAGUUCACUCACAUCAUGGCAUGUAUCUGUGUUUCAUCCCUUUCUGUAGCCAAAACUAUUUCACUGUAUGGACAUACCACAUUUUAUUUAUCCAUUUAUUAGGUGAUGAACUUCCAUUGUUUCCACUUUUAUGAAGAAUGCCACUGCAAACAUUCCUGCAGAUGAACAUUUUGUGGAUGUAUGUUUUCAUUUCUUUUGGGUGUAUACCUGGGAGUGAAAUAACUGGGUCAUGAGAUAGCUGUUUAGCAUUUGGCAAAAAAAAAAAAAGCACUCGUUUUGGUGUGUUGGUGCUGUUGUUUUGUUUUCUCUGUCAUUUUCCUUCCUCUUCCUCCCCACUACCGCCACCCUCCCAACACUUCCCACCAUCUAGGGAGCAGGUCAGAACUUUGCCACUUCCAAGCUAUGUGUGAUUUUGAGCAAGUGAAAUUUAUGUUUCUCAGAACCUCCAUUUUCUCACCUAUAAAAUGGACAUAAAGAUGAAAUGAGGUUAUUUAUGUAACAUUCUUACACUAGUGUCUGGCCAUCAGUGGUAGCUGUAUUCUUGUUAGUAGCAUCUGUGCAUGUGCUGGUGAGAUCUUACCAGUAUAAGCAUUAUAUGUUGGUAGAUGUGAUUGUAAACAGUGUCAUAACCAGGAGUCCUGUGCUUGCCUCCCAGGAGGGAGAAGGACAGGCUCAUCCUCACCUCCACUUGAUUCCGCCAAAUGAAUCUCUAAGGUGAUUGCAUUGAUGUGCACUGUCAGUGGAAGCCUCACUCACUCACAUCCUUGCCAACCUUUGGGCAUGUUUCAGCAUUCUUUACUUUUUGCCACCUUAUGGUUUUGAUGUGGAUACCAGGCACCUUACCUGGACUGUUUCAUUCAGC
rnacentral:lncRNA from 1 species